AGUCUUGAGCGCAGAUGCAUGGUCAUUUUCAGGGGCAUGCUUGGUGAUAGAAGGAAAGGACUUAUUCUUAUCGUUAGAAGAUCCAGAGGUCUGGUUAGCCCUGACCAUUAUCCGAUCGCUAAGACGCUUGCACACUCCCUCAAAGCUCCAUUUGUUUAAGCCCACCUAGAAAUGUUUUUCCCUGAGGGACAGAAUGCGCUAAGAGUGAACAAACUAACGAGUUCAUGACAUGAUCCAGGGAUCUGAUGCAACCACCCCCCAUUGUCAGUGUCCAGUUGGUCAUCAAAAUGCCGGGAUCUCUUGCAAGGUUCAUCAACACUUGAUACGGCCAGAGCAGCAGUGGGCGGGUCGCCAACACAGCAGCCAUACAAUAGCACAGGAGGAAGAGGUGGAUGAAUAGGGGGAUGAAGAAGAGGGUCAGGAAAAAUUGAUGGACGAAGGGGACACAGCAGAGGGCAAAAGACGAUUCCUGGACAGAGUGGGCGAAAGGACAGUCUGGAGACACGGCAGAUCUGAAGAAACGAAAGAGUGGAGAAGCGGAGGACAGUGGACACGAGAACGGAUCGUGCGAGGCAGAGAACAGUGCCAAAAAGAAAAAGCCCCUAGACACCUCAGCCAACCUCUCAGCGUUCGCCUUCAACACAAAUUAAAUAUAAGGCUAUAUCAUGGACCGAUUUAUACAUUUUGCUCCCCAUGUCUGUUUAGUUAGGGUCAUAGGUCACAGCGAAAUAAUUCUCAUUUGUGAGGUGUUUUCACGUUGUCAUUGAGGGGUGUUGUGUGUGGAUUGAUGAGGAAGGUCCGAGUGCAUAGCAUAUUCAUGUCUGUCAAGUUAUUGUUUAAUUCCAAAUGUAAUUCAAUUGCAUUGUUAUAUCGUGAAAGGAAACAAUAAAAGCUAUAAA